UUUUUUUCGCCGUCUCUGUUCUUCUUGCGUAGCAAGAAAUUUUGUUAGACUAAUUUGCCGACUUGUUCUAUUUUAUAAUUUUUAUCUUGCGGCAUUUGUUUGUUUAUACAAUUCUAUUUCCCUAUUGUUGUCUUUUACAUUUUGUAUAUAUCUCUUUGUUUCUUUACUUCUAUUUGUUACAUUACUUUACACAUUACAUUAAUUUCAUAUAUAUCUGUUUGUUCUCUACCUCUAUUUGUUACAUUACAUUGCAUUUUAUAUUAAUUGUCUUUUUUUUAUUUUUUUUUAUUUUACAGGUACAUUUUCGACGGCGUUGUUGGGAGGUUAUAAGUCUUGAAGCGGAUUCCAGCUCCUCUCGUCCUCUUCUUCAGGAUUUUUCAAAGAUUUUCGUGACUCGCAACGAGCGCGGAGCAGAGUUGGCAGCGAGCGG